rnacentral:lncRNA from 1 species
UCAGCAAACACCCCAGUUUGUCUGUAAUUGAAAAAAACAUUUGGCACAUUUCUAUUAAAAAACCUUCUCCUUCAUGAAUGUUUAAACAAAUUAACUCGAACAAGAAGCAGUGAUAUGCAUAUCAAAAACAAUUCUUAAACCUGAAGUCAACUAAAGCAUGGGGAAAUCAGCGUGCUGGCAGAAUGAAGAAUAGUUCUUCUGCUGUGAGGAUCCACUGGGUUGCCACUGAC